CCCACGUGACAGUGGCGGGAACACAAAGGAGUCCGCAGAGACGUUACCUUCAUGGACUUGAUGGCCUCGUAGGCGUCCUGGACGGACCGGAUGUCAUCAAACACCGUCUGAUGAGGCAGCAGCAGCUGGUUCAGGAUCUGAAGAGACCCACUCCGAUAGCGGAUCGAUUCCAGCGUCAUGACCGACACGACGAGGCGGGAUGUCGGGGAGGAGAGCGCGGAACGAGCGGGUACCUGUGCAGAAUCUCUUGUUCGUGCAGGUACUUCAGUCCUGAGACGAUCUGUCUUAGGUAGUAGCGGACCUCCGGUUCAGUGAGCACCUUUCGACGAUAUCGACGUCAGGUCACAGAAGGCGACAGAUGGGUUUACGAGUGAAGAGCUGCUGAAGCUAUGGAAGGGUCUGUUCCACUGUUUGUGGAUGCAAGACAAACCCCUUUUAAAGGAGGUGCUUUCAAACUCUUUCCUUUUAUUUUUGUAUAUGAUACUGUAUUGUAUACUACAUUAUACUGUAUUUUUUAUUAAAUACAUUCUCAUGUAUUGUUC